rnacentral:rRNA from 1 species
GACGAACGCUGGCGGCGUGCUUAACACAUGCAAGUCGAACGGAAAGGCCCUGCUUGCAGGGUGCUCGAGUGGCGAACGGGUGAGUAACACGUGGGUGAUCUGCCCCUUACUUUGGGAUAAGCCUGGGAAACUGGGUCUAAUACUGGAUAGGACCAUGCUGUAGGUGGUGUGGUGGAAAGAUUUUUUCGGUAAGGGAUGAGCUCGCGGCCUAUCAGCUUGUUGGUGGGGUAAUGGCCUACCAAGGCGUCGACGGGUAGCCGGCCUGAGAGGGUGGACGGCCACAUUGGGACUGAGAUACGGCCCAGACUCCUACGGGAGGCAGCAGUGGAGAAUAUUGCACAAUGGGCGCAAGCCUGAUGCAGCGACGCCGCGUGGGGGAUGACGGCCUUCGGGUUGUAAACUCCUUUCAGCCAUGACGAAGCCUCUUUUGGGGUGACGGUAGUGGUAGAAGAAGCACCGGCUAACUACGUG